rnacentral:rRNA from 1 species
UACGUAGGGUGCGAGCGUUAAUCGGAAUUACUGGGCGUAAAGCGUGCGCAGGCGGUUCGCUAAGACCGAUGUGAAAGCCCCGGGCUCAACCUGGGAACUGCGUUUGGUACUGGCAAGCUAGAGUACGGCAGAGGGGGGUGGAAUUCCACGUGUAGCAGUGAAAUGCGUAGAGAUGUGGAGGAACACCGAUGGCGAAGGCAGCCCCCUGGGCCGAUACUGACGCUCAGGCACGAAAGCGUGGGGAGCAAACAGG